GCGGAGGUGAUUCAGUGGUAGAACUCUCGCCUUCCGUGUGGGAGACCCAAGUUGGAUUCCUGGCCGGUGCA
rnacentral:tRNA from 1 species